AAUGCUUUAUGAUUUCAUUCCCAUCUUUCUAUUGUGAACAAUCUCGGAUCUUCGGCGUGACGGCUGGAUCGACCCUGGAUGUGCUGGAUGCUCUACAAUUUUUAUGUGGUGGUAUAAAUCAACACACAGGCAUUACACACUGCCGCCCCAUGUGAGCAUCAGCGUAUCCAGAUUCCAGUUGACAUUUUUUACUCAUUAAGAAAACGUACACAAAGGAAAUGUAGGUGACCAAGAGGUGUGCUCACUUCCAAAUCAAACAGCAUCUACGUCAAACUGCUUUUCUUCAGUCUCUUGAUGCUGGUCUCUGAGGGCUCCAUGUGCUAAUGGAGCUUUGGUUGUGUGUGAGUUUCAGAUGAUGGUGAAGAUAUGGUGAAACUUGAGGAUGAUUAUUUAUUUCUGGAAGGAGUUUUCCAACACUUGAAAGUCUUCAGGACCGAGGACUUGAAAAAGAUGAAACAGGAGAGGCUGAUGAGGGAACUACUGUUUAUAGCAGCUGUAAUGCCAGUGAACAGGAAAUAACUUGUUUCAUAGAUCAUCCACAACAUUAAAUGUAACUGUAAA
ensembl:lncRNA